rnacentral:rRNA from 1 species
GAUGAACGCUGGCGGCGUGCCUAAUACAUGCAAGUCGAGCGAACGGACGAGAAGCUUGCUUCUCUGAUGUUAGCGGCGGACGGGUGAGUAACACGUGGAUAACCUACCAAAGACUGGGAUAACUUCGGGAAACCGGAGCUAAUACCGGAUGAUAUUUUGAACCGCAUGGUUCAAAAGUGAAAGACGGUCUUGCUGUCACUUAUAGAUGGAUCCGCGCUGCAUUAGCUAGUUGGUAAGGUAACGGCUUACCAAGGCAACGAUGCAUAGCCGACCUGAGAGGGUGAUCGGCCACACUGGAACUGAGACACGGUCCAGACUCCUACGGGAGGCAGCAGUAGGGAAUCUUCCGCAAUGGGCGAAAGCCUGACGGAGCAACGCCGCGUGAGUGAUGAAGGUCUUCGGAUCGUAAAACUCUGUUAUUAGGGAAGAACAUAUGUGUAAGUAACUGUGCACAUCUUGACGGUACCUAAUCAGAAAGCCACGGCUAACUACGUG